rnacentral:rRNA from 1 species
GACGAACGCUGGCGGCGUGCUUAACACAUGCAAGUCGAACGGAAAGGCCCUGCUUUUGUGGGGUGCUCGAGUGGCGAACGGGUGAGUAACACGUGAGUAACCUGCCCUUGACUUUGGGAUAACUUCAGGAAGCUGGGGCUAAUACCGGAUAGGAGCUCCUGCUGCAUGGUGGGGGUUGGAAAGUUUCGGCGGUUGGGGAUGGACUCGCAGCUUAUCAGCUUGUUGGUGGGGUAGUGGCUUACCAAGGCUUUGACGGGUAGCCGGCCUGAGAGGGUGACCGGCCACAUUGGGACUGAGAUACGGCCCAGACUCCUACGGGAGGCAGCAGUGGGGAAUAUUGCACAAUGGGCGGAAGCCUGAUGCAGCAACGCCGCGUGCGGGAUGACGGCCUUCGGGUUGUAAACCGCUUUCGCCUGUGACGAAGCGUGAGUGACGGUAAUGGGUAAAGAAGCACCGGCUAACUACGUG